rnacentral:rRNA from 1 species
AGAGUUUGAUCCUGGCUCAGGAUGAACGCUAGCGGGAGGCUUAACACAUGCAAGUCGAGGGGUAACAGGUUGGAAUUUCGGUUUCGACGCUGACGACCGGCGAACGGGUGAGUAACGCGUAUGCAACCUACCUUUUACAGGGGAAUAGCUUUCGGAAACGGAAAUUAAUACCCCAUAACGCUGCACUGUGGCAUCACAGAGCAGUUAAAACUCCGGUGGUAAAAGAUGGGCAUGCGUAACAUUAGCUAGUUGGUAAGGUAACGGCUUACCAAGGCUGCGAUGUUUAGGGGACCUGAGAGGGUGAUCCCCCACACUGGUACUGAGACACGGACCAGACUCCUACGGGGGGCAGCAGUGAGGAAUAUUGGUCAAUGGGCGCAAGCCUGAACCAGCCAUCCCGCGUGCAGGAAGACGGCCCUAUGGGUUGUAAACUGCUUUUCUGAAGGAAGAAUAAUUCCGAGUUUUUCGGGAGAUGACGGUACUUCAGGAAUAAGCAUCGGCUAACUCCGUGCCAGCAGCCGCGGUAAUACGGAGGAUGCAAGCGUUAUCCGGAUUUAUUGGGUUUAAAGGGUGCGUAGGCGGGCUAAUAAGUCAGUGGUGAAAUCUCUCGGCUCAACCGGGAAACUGCCAUUGAUACUGUUAGUCUUGAGUUCGGUUGAGGUAGGCGGAAUGUGUAAUGUAGCGGUGAAAUGCUUAGAUAUUACACAGAACACCAAUUGCGUAGGCAGCUUACUAGACCGACACUGACGCUGAGGCACGAAAGCGUGGGGAGCGAACAGGAUUAGAUACCCUGGUAGUCCACGCCGUAAACUAUGAUUACUCGUUGUUGGCGAUACACAGUCAGCGACCAAGCGAAAGCGAUAAGUAAUCCACCUGGGGAGUACGCUCGCAAGAGUGAAACUCAAAGGAAUUGACGGGGGCCCGCACAAGCGGUGGAACAUGUGGUUUAAUUCGAUGAUACGCGAGGAACCUUACCUGGGCUUAAAUGUAGAGUGCAUAAGUGGGAAACCAUUUUUUCCUUCGGGACUCUUUACAAGGUGCUGCAUGGUUGUCGUCAGCUCGUGCCGUGAGGUGUCGGGUUAAGUCCCAUAACGAGCGCAACCCUUAUCAUUAGUUGCCAUCGGGUAAUGCCGGGGACUCUAAUGAAACUGCCACCGUAAGGUGAGAGGAAGGUGGGGAUGACGUCAAUCAGCACGGCCCUUAUGUCCAGGGCUACACACGUGUUACAAUGGUCGGUACAGAGGGCAGCUACCUGGUGACAGGAUGCCAAUCUCUAAAGCCGGUCCAAGUUCGGAUCGAAGUCUGCAACUCGACUUCGUGAAGCUGGAAUCGCUAGUAAUCGUAUAUCAGCAAUGAUACGGUGAAUACGUUCCCGGGCCUUGUACACACCGCCCGUCAAGCCAUGGAAGCUGGGGGUGCCUGAAGUUCGUAACCGCAAGGAGCGACCUAGGGUAAAACUAGUGACUGGGACUAAGUCGUAACAAGGUA